CUUAGGCAUCUACAAGACAGAGCGAACCGACUUGGGAAUCCAGAACAAAGUUCCAAACUGAUUUUGGCUGUGCUUUAAAAGUACCAAAAAGGCAAUGAGUAUUUAUAGCAUUAAAGUCACAUAUGAGCUGUGUCUAGACAAGGAUUGCAUGUUUGUGUAUGCUUUUUCUAGGAUGAGUGUUUACAGCUUUUAUUCUGAGCAGUUUCUAUAUCCCCCCCACUCCCAUUUAAGCCUCACUAG
rnacentral:lncRNA from 1 species